GCUCAGAUUGAACGCUGGCGGCAUGCCUUACACAUGCAAGUCGAACGGUAACAGGUCUUCGGAUGCUGACGAGUGGCGAACGGGUGAGUAAUACAUCGGAACGUGCCCGAUCGUGGGGGAUAACGGAGCGAAAGCUUUGCUAAUACCGCAUACGAUCUACGGAUGAAAGCAGGGGACCGCAAGGCCUUGCGCGGACGGAGCGGCCGAUGGCAGAUUAGGUAGUUGGUGGGAUAAAAGCUUACCAAGCCGACGAUCUGUAGCUGGUCUGAGAGGACGACCAGCCACACUGGGACUGAGACACGGCCCAGACUCCUACGGGAGGCAGCAGUGGGGAAUUUUGGACAAUGGGCGAAAGCCUGAUCCAGCCAUGCCGCGUGCAGGAUGAAGGCCUUCGGGUUGUAAACUGCUUUUGUACGGAACGAAAAGACUCCUUCUAAUAAAGGGGGUCCAUGACGGUACCGUAAGAAUAAGCACCGGCUAACUACGUGCCAGCAGCCGCGGUAAUACGUAGGGUGCAAGCGUUAAUCGGAAUUACUGGGCGUAAAGCGUGCGCAGGCGGUUAUAUAAGACAGAUGUGAAAUCCCCGGGCUCAACCUGGGAACUGCAUUUGUGACUGUAUAGCUAGAGUACGGUAGAGGGGGAUGGAAUUCCGCGUGUAGCAGUGA
rnacentral:rRNA from 1 species